rnacentral:sRNA from 1 species
UGGCUUCAGAUGAGCCUGUCUCUGUGCUGGCAUCACCAGUGGUUGCUGCUUCAGUCUCGGUGUCUGACCUCCCCCAUCUCCCGCCAAGGGCAAUUGUCAUCAUCUCAUAGAUCUUACCACCCAACUCCGCAGGACUGUCAGGCUGGACAUUCCAAGUAAACAAACAGUCAAAUGGUAAGGUUCAUGAUGACCAAGAAAUGAAAUAUAAUGAGUGUCAACAAAUCUUACAUUCAAGUCCUUGACAAUAGGGUGGUCAGGGUUAAUUUCGAAAAUCCUUCUACCCCUCAUGAACUCCAAGCUUGAUGUGUCCCCAAGUGUUUGUGCUUUCAUGAGAAAUACCUUUCCAUGUUGGCAGACCAACCAAACUUGCCAGAUACAAGAACACAUGGUGACAAACUGAGGCGCUUUGAUAUUUGAACCUUUGCUACCUUGUCACCAAGCUGCUGUUUUACCCAGUCACACAGAAGAGUGUAUUCCUAGCAAAUUUCAAACACUUCCUCAGUCCUCACCCAACUCCAGGUCCUCUUUGCUGAUAUCAACAAACUUCUUCUCUUUAUAGGUCUGCAAAUUCUGAAUGGCAACCUCAUCUAUUGGCUCAAUGAGGUAGAGAACCUAAAGAGGGAAAAAAAACAGCAACAUGAGAAAGGAGCAGUCUUUGCACUCUGGAGACUAUCUGUAGCAAUGUAAUAGAUUGCUUUUUGGUUCUCUGGCAUGUUUUCUACAUAUUGAUCAAGACUUAUCAAAUCUCCCUCAUUUUUAGAAGUGUGGAAACGCAGCAGAGGUGCAAGACGCUUGUGAUUU